UACGGAGGGUGCAAGCGUUAAUCGGAAUUACUGGGCGUAAAGCGUGCGUAGGCGGUUUGUUUAGUCAGAUGUGAAAGCCCCGGGCUCAACCUGGGAACUGCAUUUGAUACUGGCAGACUAGAGUAUGGUAGAGGGGGGUAGAAUUCCUGGUGUAGCGGUGAAAUGCGUAGAUAUCAGGAGGAAUACCAGUGGCGAAGGCGGCCACCUGGACAGUAACUGACGCUGAGGCGCGAAAGCGUGGGUAGCAAACAGG
rnacentral:rRNA from 1 species